GCGCCGUUAGCUCAAUCGGCAGAGCAGCUGACUCUUAAUCAGCGGGUUCGGGGUUCAAGUCCCUGACGGCGCACCG
rnacentral:tRNA from 1 species